UGGGGAAUUUUUGGACAAUGGGGGCAACCCUGAUCCAGCCAUUCCGCGUGAGUGAAGAAGGCCUUCGGGUUGUAAAGCUCUUUCAGCAGGAACGAAACGGUCGACUUUAAUAAAGUCGUCUAAUGACGGUACCUGCAGAAGAAGCACCGGCUAACUACGUGCC
rnacentral:rRNA from 1 species